rnacentral:rRNA from 1 species
GUGGGGAAUUUUGGACAAUGGGCGAAAGCCUGAUCCAGCAAUGCCGCGUGCAGGAUGAAGGCCCUCGGGUUGUAAACUGCUUUUGUACGGAACGAAAAGCCUGGGGCUAAUAUCCUCGGGUCAUGACGGUACCGUAAGAAUAAGCACCGGCUAACUACGUGCCAGCAGCCGCGGUAAUACGUAGGGUGCAAGCGUUAAUCGGAAUUACUGGGCGUAAAGCGUGCGCAGGCGGGUUUGUAAGACAGUGGUGAAAUCCCCGGGCUCAACCUGGGAACUGCCAUUGUGACUGCAAGGCUAGAGUGCGGCAGAGGGGGAUGGAAUUCCGCGUGUAGCAGUGAAAUGCGUAGAUAUGCGGAGGAACACCGAUGGCGAAGGCAAUCCCCUGGGCCUGCACUGACGCUCAUGCACGAAAGCGUGGGGAGCAAACAGGAUUAGAUACCCGUGUAGUCC